rnacentral:ncRNA from 1 species
ACACACGUGGGAAACGUGUGCGCCGAUUGACUAAGGGUUCCUGGGUCAAGCUGAUCUGCCCAGGGUAAGUCGGGACCUAAGGCGAGGCCGACAGGCGUAGUCGAUGGACAACCGGUUGAUAUUCCGGUACCCGCUUUGAAGCGCCCAAUAUCGAAUCCUCUGAUGCUAAGGCCGUGAAGCCGCCCUGAUCUCUUCGGAGUUGAGGGGAGUGGUGGAGCCGCUGAUCCAAGGUGGUAGUAGGUAAGUGAUGGGGUGACGCAGGAAGGUAGUCCAGCCCGGGCGGUGGUUGUCCCGGGGUAAGGGUGUAGGACGUCACGCAGGUAAAUCCGUGUGGCAUGUGUCUGAGACCUGAUGCCGAGCCGAUUGUGGUGAAGUGGAUGAUCCUAUGCUGUCGAGAAAAGCCUCUAGCGAGUUUCAUGGCGGCCCGUACCCUAAACCGACUCAGGUGGUCAGGUAGAGAAUACCGAGGCGUUCGGGUGAACUAUGGUUAAGGAACUCGGCAAAAUGCCCCCGUAACUUCGGGAGAAGGGGGGCCAUUGCUGGUGAUGGGAUUUACUCCUUGAGCUGGUGGUGGCCGCAGAGACCAGCGAGAAGCGACUGUUUACUAAAAACACAGGUCCGUGCGAAGCCGUAAGGCGAUGUAUACGGACUGACGCCUGCCCGGUGCUGGAACGUUAAGGGGACCGGUUAGUCGACCUUCGGGUUGGCGAAGCUGAGAACUUAAGCGCCAGUAAACGGCGGUGGUANNNNNNNNNNNNNNNNNNNNNNNNNNNNNNNNNN